AGGGACGCCCCCACAGGUAGACGAAGAGGGUCCAGAGAAAGGUGGGGAUUCCCUAACCCCUUCUUUCUUGGCACAGACAGGCAGAGAACACCUCUUUUCUCACCCCUGGGCAGCCCCAGGAAGUCAAUCCUUCCACUAUUCCUGCUCCGUGCCUCUCUUCCCUCUGCCCAGAUUCCUGGGAGACUCAAAACCCUGUUCAACUCUCUCUGGGCUAGCUGCUCCCCUCCCCAAGAGGAUUUCUCUCCAGAGCUGGUAUCAUCGCUUAAUGAUGUUCCACCAACAAGGGGAAGAUUCAGCCAUGUCUUCCUAGGAUCCAGCAUCCAAACCUGGACCAAAGUCCUCGGAUCCUCAGCAAUGGGGGUGCAUCUGGUGAUGGUGUUCAUGCUAAAUUUGUGCCAAGAGACACCUGUACUUGUGGGAGAAUUAAUAUUUCACUUCUGUUUAGGUUUCUUUUCUGGGAGCUGCUAUCACUGAAUACAUAAAGAAAUUGAGCCUAUAUGAUUUCAAUCUUCACCUUCUGAUGCUGAUGAAACAGGAUUCUAUGCAGAGAAAAUCCUCUCCAGUCAAGUAAUUGCAUCCAUUUCAUCUUCCCAGCCCUCCUCUAGAUGGGAGGUGGAGGUGUGUGUACCAAUCUCUUAAUUCAGAAAUGAGACAAGAGGAGGAAAAAGGAGUUCCGGAGGUGUGUGAUCCAAGUCUGGCUGCAGGCUAUGGACAUUCCAGGAGGGAGACUCCAUCAGAGAAGUGGAGCUGGAGUUGGGUGUUAGAGGGUAAAGGGAGGGUUUGAACAGGCAAGGGAUGGGGGAGGAGUGCCUUACAGUGGGAGAGGGAGAGGCUGCUUGAAAAAGCAUAGAGCUGUGAGUGAGCAUGCGUGCCCAAGGAGAGGGAGCCAGGCACUGCCAGGGUGCAGGUGGGGCAGACUGGCUAGGUGUGUGGCCAGGGUGUGGAAGGAACAUGCUAAGUGUGACAGUUAAUUUAUGUGUCAUCCUGGCUAGGCUAUGGUGCUCAGUUGUUUGGUGAAACAUCAGCCUAGAUGUUGCUUCAAAGGUAUUUAUUAAAUGUGUAAUUUAAAUCAUAGACUUUGAGUAAAGCUGAUCACCUUACGUAAUGUGAGUGGGUCUCGUCCAAUCAACUGAAGGCUUUAAGAGCAAAGACAAAGGUUUUUCAAAGAGAAAAAGAAGACUCUCCUCAAGACUGUGACAUAGAAACUCUGCCUGAAUUUCUAGCCUGCUGCCCUGCAGAAUUUAGAGUCAAGCCUACAACAUAACUCUUACCUGAAUUCUCAGGCUGCUGACUUACCCUGCAGAUUUUGGACUUGCCAGCCCCUCACAAUCCCAUGAGCCAAUUCCUUAAAAUAAAUCUCUCUUUUUCCCUCUGUAUAUAUUUAUGUCCUAUUGAUUUUGGUUCUCUGGAGAGCCCUGACUACUACACUGAGUGAAGGGAGGGCUUUGCUAAGUGAUCAUGGUCCCAAGGGCAGCCUCUGAGAGCCCGCUCCUUUUGCAGGAUAUUUGAAGACCAGACCUUGAGUCAAAUUCUGCAGCCAAAUUCAAUGCCCAUAAGACUUUCUGCUCAGAAGACGUCAUGCAAAGGGAAUCCCCAGGGCUCUUUAAAUUAGAUCUUCUGUUUGUGCAGACACGUGAUAAAUGUUUUGGGUACAGCCUGGCUCACACCACAUUUUCCACUUUUUGGGUGGAGUCAGUUUUAAUUGACAAGAAGUGCCUUUACAGGUGGACUUUUUUUUUGGUGGUGGAGGGGAGUAGUUAAAACCGAUGCUUUGCAUUCUGUUGGGCAGCAGAAAGAUUGCUUUUUCAAUAAGCAAGCCUUGGGUUUUUCUGAGCCAGUGGUAUGAGAAAUGCCUCUCCUGAAGGCCACCACGCAAGCGAGUCCCCACAGAAGCAUGCCCGAGCUGUCAGGUGCAGGGAGAAAUAUCUUUAGUAAGAGCCGGUCAUGUAAUGAGACUUCCCCACCACAGCAUAGAUGGGCAGAGGGGUUUCCACAAGGACAAUUCUUAAGAAUCUCUGUAAAAACGCAUGACUCCAUCUGUCUCCUCUCUCUUCUUUGGCUUCAGAUGAGCUGAGCCAUUUAAAAAUUCCCCAACAAGGGACCCCAGGCACCAGAAGAAGUGAUGAACAGAUUUUCAAUUUGGCCCUGAUUUGCAUAAAUUUUUUUUUUCUGGCAG
rnacentral:lncRNA from 1 species